CACUCUGGGACAAGCCCUGGAAACGGGGUCUAAUACCGGAUAUGACUGUCCAUCGCAUGGUGGAUGGUGUAAAGCUCCGGCGGUGCAGGAUGAGCCCGCGGCCUAUCAGCUUGUUGGUGAGGUAGUGGCUCACCAAGGCGACGACGGGUAGCCGGCCUGAGAGGGCGACCGGCCACACUGGGACUGAGACACGGCCCAGACUCCUACGGGAGGCAGCAGUGGGGAAUAUUGCACAAUGGGCGAAAGCCUGAUGCAGCGACGCCGCGUGAGGGAUGACGGCCUUCGGGUUGUAAACCUCUUUCAGCAGGGAAGAAGCGAAAGUGACGGUACCUGCAGAAGAAGCGCGGCUAACUACGUGCCAGCAGCCGCGGUAAUACGUAGGGCGCAAGCGUUGUCCGGAAUUAUUGGGCGUAAAGAGCUCGUAGGCGGCUUGUCACGUCGGUUGUGAAAGCCCGGGGCUUAACCCCGGGUCUGCAGUCGAUACGGGCAGGCUAGAGUUCGGUAGGGGAGAUCGGAAUUCCUGGUGUAGCGGUGAAAUGCGCAGAUAUCAGGAGGAACACCGGUGGCGAAGGCGGAUCUCUGGGCCGAUACUGACGCUGAGGAGCGAAAGCGUGGGGAGCGAACAGGAUUAGAUACCCUGGUAGUCCACGCCGUAAACGGUGGGCACUAGGUGUGGGCAACAUUCCACGUUGUCCGUGCCGCAGCUAACGCAUUAAGUGCCCCGCCUGGGGAGUACGGCCGCAAGGCUAAAACUCAAAGGAAUUGACGGGGGGCCGCACAAGCGGCGGAGCAUGUGGCUUAAUUCGACGCAACGCGAAGAACCUUACCAGGGCUUGACAUACACCGGAAACGUCUGGAGACAGGCGCCCCCUUGUGGUCGGUGUACAGGUGGUGCAUGGCUGUCGUCAGCUCGUGUCGUGAGAUGUUGGGUUAAGUCCCGCAACGAGCGCAACCCUUGUCCCGUGUUGCCAGCAGGCCCUUGUGGUGCUGGGGACUCACGGGAGACCGCCGGGGUCAACUCGGAGGAAGGUGGGGACGACGUCAAGUCAUCAUGCCCCUUAUGUCUUGGGCUGCACACGUGCUACAAUGGCCGGUACAAUGAGCUGCGAUACCGCGAGGCGGAGCGAAUCUCAAAAAGCCGGUCUCAGUUCGGAUUGGGGUCUGCAACUCGACCCCAUGAAGUCGGAGUCGCUAGUAAUCGCAGAUCAGCAUUGCUGCGGUGAAUACGUUCCCGGGCCUUGUACACACCGCCCGUCACGUCACGAAAGUCGGUAACACCCGAAGCCGGUGGCCCAACCCCUUGUGGGAGGGAGCUGUCGAAGGUGGGACUGGCGAUUGGGCA
rnacentral:rRNA from 1 species